UACGGAGGGUGCAAGCGUUAUCCGGAUUCACUGGGUUUAAAGGGUGCGUAGGUGGGCAGUUAAGUCAGUGGUGAAAUCUCCGAGCUCAACCCGGAAACUGCCAUUGAUACUAUCUGUCUUGAAUAUCGUGGAGGUAAGCGGAAUAUGUCAUGUAGCGGUGAAAUGCUUAGAUAUGACAUAGAACACCAAUUGCGAAGGCAGCUUACUACCCGAAUAUUGACACUGAGGCACGAAAGCGUGGGGAUCAAACAGG
rnacentral:rRNA from 1 species